UUUACUUGAAGUAAAAAAAAUUUGGUUAUAAGAAUGUGGUACUUUUUAUUUAUGGUUAAAUUACAGUUUGUAGUAAAAAAUUAGCUUCUGAGACAUUUUGGGAACUUUACUGUAAAGUUGCAGUUUAGUUUUUGACAAUAAAUUGACUUUUUUCUCACUGUAUUUGGUGGGAUCCUAACCUAACCAAAUCAUGUGUCCGAUGGUAUAUUAAUUCUCUGGGAAAGGAAAAAUCACAAGACGCUUCACAAUAUCGGCGUUUAUAGAUAAUUAAACCCUUAUGGCAGUGGGAUAUAAUUUGUGAAUUUACCAGGUGUUAUCCAUUAGUGACUAGUAAGUGGUAUUAUGAAAGUUGUUGACCAGAGUUAACUUGUAGUGAAGCCAAGUUUUGUCUUUUCAUGGGAGUUCAAAAUACAUUACCACAGUAUUUACAUUAUUGGCUUUUAUACAAUUGUUUUUGUCUUUAUACAUUUUAUUCAUUACUUUGUUUACAGUUGACGGCUCCAAUUGGUUGUUACUGUAGUGCUAAGACAACUACCAUAUUGCUGCCUCGCUGAUCGUGGUUAAUGAAGUUCCUCGUGUCAUUCGUCGAGGACGGUGCCGUGAAGAUGUAAGAUAUGGGCCACAAGACGAAGGUUUGUUUUGGUUUGCGGGUCUCUUGCUGCACCACAUUGGAAACUUUCUGCUAUAACAUAAGAUAUUGUGAUGUAACAUCUCAAGACCAAGUGUAACUAAGU